CCUACGGGAGGCUGCAGUGAGGAAUAUUGGUCAAUGGACGAGAGUCUGAACCAGCCAAGUAGCGUGAAGGAUGACUGCCCUAUGGGUUGUAAACUUCUUUUAUAUGGGAAUAAAAUGUGCCACGUGUGGGAGUUCGUAGGUACCAUAUGAAUAAGGAUCGGCUAACUCCGGGCCAGCAGCCGCGGUAAUACGGAGGAUCCGAGCGUUAUCCGGAUUUAUUGGGUUUAAAGGGAGCGUAGGUGGAUUGUUAAGUAAGUUGUGAAAGUUUGCGGCUCAACCGUAAAAUUGCAGUUGAAACUGGCAGUCUUGAGUAGGGGAGAGGUAUGCGGAAUUCGUGGUGUAGCGGUGAAAUGCUUAGAUAUCACGAAGAACUCCGAUUGCGAAGGCAGCUCACUGGACUGCAACUGACGCUGAGGCUCGAAAGUGUGGGUAUCGAACAGGAUUAGAUACCCCUGUAGUC
rnacentral:rRNA from 1 species